rnacentral:misc_RNA from 1 species
GGACGUAAAAGUCGUAACAAGGUCUCCGUUGGUGAACCAGCGGAGGGAUCAUUACAGGACUCGCAAGACUCCUACAACCCUGUGAACUUAACUAUAAGCACGUUGCUUCGGCGGGUGUCUCGGAGGGGGUUCUCCCUCCCCGAGACGCUAAACCCGCCGGCAGCCUACUAUACUCUGUCUCUUUGCGUUGGCAUCUCGAGUACAAUCAAACAAGUUAAAACUUUCAACAACGGAUCUCUUGGUUCUG